rnacentral:lncRNA from 1 species
GUUUUCCUCUGACAGCUCCUUCAAGUCGGAAGGAAUACCUUUAUGGAGGCAUGUCGAUUCACUUUUCUCACUUCAGAUUCAUCAUUAUGACUUCUUGAGGCCAGAUCUAAUUUUAAAGUAACCAGGAAUCUGAUCAUCCCAGAGCAGCAAAUUCCUCGACUUUGGAGCACAAAUGAUCACUGAUAGGCUCUGCAUAAAAUCGUCUGCCUCUAGUUUGACAUCUGUGAGCAGAGCCCUGGGGAAAAAGCCACAGCCUUAAACCUCUUCACUCAAAAAUUACCAAGAAGAUAAAAAUAUAUAGAUGAAAAGGACUGAAUAAAAAGCCAACAAAUAAAUAAAAACCAAACAAAACUCAUUUUACUAUGGAAAUAAAAUAUUCUCAAAUAUGAGUCCCCCAAAUUUAAAAUUCAGCAAUUUAUCUAGUAAAUUGUAAAUGGAUUUAUCGUUUUGGAAGGUAAAGGGACAGAGAUAGGAGGUAUCUCUAGUCAGAAGUACUCAUCAUUUCAAAAUAUGUAGACAAAAGUAGAACUGAGCAAGCAGGAACAUUGCAGCAUUGGCAGUGUCAGGACAGAAGGAUGCUGUUUGCAGAAAAGAGGAUGUUUGCCAUCUUGUGUACACCCUCAAAGCCAUAAUGGAAUAACAGCAUUGUUACCAAUUGUUUGAAAAGUUUCCACAUUGGAUCUUCACCCCACAUUGGUUAAGAGAGAGGGAAGGUCAGUUCUUAUUGAUCACUUCUCCAUGCACCCCUGAUAUUUGCACUGUCCCUUCCAUUCAGGUUAAUGAUGUGUGCUCUGUUUAUCUGCACAGAUGGUCCCAUGAGUUUUGAGACCACAGCAAGCCAUUUCUUGCAAGAGUCCAAAAGGAAAACCUUGUGAAUUCUCAAAAUAUUGUUUCCUCUUUCCCCUAUAAAAUUCAGUUAUCUAAAGAAAUGUACCUUUCUUAGAUCUUUGUUUUUAAAUCUAAAGAACAACAGUGAAAGAAUUAGUGUGAUCAAAUGAAUGAAAAAGAGAUAAAAAAUUUUCAUGAAUAUUGUUUUAUAUCAUUCACAGCCAAGAAGUACAGCAAACUGCACACUACACAUUUCUGUUGAACAUCUAUUUGUUCUCUUACUUAAUUAAAGUCAUUUGUAAUUUGUAUUUGACAUAAAACAGUUUUUUAUAGCCAUUUAUCUAUGCUUCAUGGAAAAAUGUACCAGAUAAGCAAACAGCAUUUUCA